rnacentral:rRNA from 1 species
GACUAAGCGUACACGGUGGAUGCCUUGGCAGUCAGAGGCGAUGAAAGACGUAGUAACUUGCGAUAAGCCCAGAUUAGGUAGUAACAACCAUUUGAGUCUGGGAUUUCUGAAUGGGGAAACCCACGUGCAUAAGCACGUAUCCUUACCUGAAUACAUAGGGUAAGGAGGCGAACCGGGGGAACUGAAACAUCUAAGUACCCCGAGGAAAA